AAGAUCAAAGUUAACGAUCCUCUUUAUCCUUAAAAAAAAAAAAAGAAUACAAAAGUCAAUCUACAUAUUAACUGUGCUUUCCACUUAUCUUCUACUUCUUUUACUUAACAUUGGAUAAGCAUUGAAGCGUAUUUAAGCUUAUUUUACAGCUAGAAAAAAGUUCAUCGUUCGAAAUCAUAAUAUUUUAUUAUGCUGUUCAUUAUUUUGUAAACAUUAAAUUUGUUUGAAUUGAACCAUUAAACAAAAGUAAAAAAAAUAAUUAAGCUUGAUUCAUUAAGAAUUAAGAUGAAGGAGAAAUGAAUGCAAUAAACGAAAAUGAAGUUGUGAAUACAACAAGGAGGAACAGC